rfam:Gossypium raimondii chromosome 3, whole genome shotgun sequence.
AAUUUGUGAGGUUGACAUUUCUAAACCAACGUUUUAAAAUAUUCCCAAGCCUCAUAGAAACUUUCUCCUUCCAUAUUUCUAAAGAAAAAAAAUCUCUCUUCCAAUCU